rnacentral:rRNA from 1 species
UACGUAGGUGGCAAGCGUUGUCCGGAUUUACUGGGUGUAAAGGGCGUGCAGCCGGGACUGCAAGUCAGAUGUGAAAUCCGCGGGCUUAACCCGCGAACUGCAUUUGAAACUGCGGAUCUUGAGUACCGGAGAGGUUAUCGGAAUUCCUUGUGUAGCGGUGAAAUGCGUAGAUAUAAGGAAGAACACCAGUGGCGAAGGCGGAUAACUGGACGGCAACUGACGGUGAGGCGCGAAAGCGUGGGGAGCAA